rnacentral:rRNA from 1 species
GGUGAGUAACGCGUGGGAACGUGCCCUUCGGUUCGGAAUAACCCUGGGAAACUAGGGCUAAUACCGGAUACGCCCCUUGGGGGAAAGGUUUACGCCGAAGGAUCGGCCCGCGUCUGAUUAGCUUGUUGGUGAGGUAACGGCUCACCAAGGCGACGAUCAGUAGCUGGUCUGAGAGGAUGAUCAGCCACACUGGGACUGAGACACGGCCCAGACUCCUACGGGAGGCAGCAGUGGGGAAUAUUGGACAAUGGGCGCAAGCCUGAUCCAGCCAUGCCGCGUGAGUGAUGACGGCCUUAGGGUUGUAAAGCUCUUUUGUCCGGGACGAUAAUGACGGUACCGGAAGAAUAAGCCCCGUAACUUCGUGCCAGCAGCCGCGGUAAUACGAAGGGGGCUAGCGUUGCUCGGAAUCACUGGGCGUAAAGGGCGCGUAGGCGGCUUAUCAAGUCGGGGGUGAAAGCCCGUGGCUCAACCACGGAAUGGCCUUCGAUACUGGUAGGCUUGAGACCGGAAGAGGACAGCGGAACUGCGAGUGUAGAGGUGAAAUUCGUAGAUAUUCGCAAGAACACCAGUGGCGAAGGCGGCUGUCUGGUCCGGUUCUGACGCUGAGGCGCGAAAGCGUGGGGAGCAAACAG